CCAUAAGAUCUAGGGAGCUGAACACUCCCAGAUCCUGUCUGAACCCCGGGAUCUGGCCAGGACCUCGGGCGUCCUGCCUACUCACAUUGCGGUUAAAGCUGUUGCCAGGCAGAAGUGGCAGAGCCAUGCCUGUCAGCGUCCGAUGAGGAUCGAGGAUCUGACCAGAGAAAUCUGACCAGUACAAGGGAUGGAACUCAAGACCUUGAAAAUGCUGGGCAAACAUACCACUGAGAUGAAGUUUCAGUCCUUAAAAUUCCUUUUAAAGUGACUACAUAUGAAACACAAAAAAUUGUAUAUCACUGUGCAUAAUUGUAUUUAUAAAAGACUUUAAUUCUU